GUUGUUUAUCAGGAAGUGCUCAGUUUCUUGCCGCUUUGUCCAGUUGUGUCUCGAAACUUGUCUCUGUAGCGCGGCUUGUGUGUCCCGAAGUGCAAGAAGAGUCCAGAAGGAGGAACCAUGGUGUGACUGAUCAUUAACGCCUGCAGGUAUGUGGCGCAGAAGAUCCGUGCUGCCUUCAGGGAGCAGCCAGAGAACAUGAGCGCCCCUUCCUGACGACAGGCCAAAGGAGAGAAGUCGUGCAUGAUGAGCUCUGACCCGGGAGCUAGAGGCUCCCCUCAGAUGGGCAGCUCAGAGCGGACUGUGGUGCAGAAGACCUCCUCCUGACAGUAAUCUGAUCCCUGCUCCUCAGGGAUCAGGGAGCUGCGUUUGAUUUGUGGAAGACAGCAGAGAAAAUGAAGAGCUGCUUUUCAGGCCUACGGGAGCGAGGCAGCUCUGAGCUAACUACUCUGCUGCUCUGAUGUGACUAAUAAAAGUCCUCAUCCACAAA